AACGUAGGUGACAAGCGUUAUCCGGAUUUACUGGGCGUAAAGCGCGUUCAGGCGGUUUGGCAAGUCGGGCAUGAAAUCUCCUGGCUCAACCAGGAGGGGCUGUCCGAUACUUCCAGACUUGAGGGCAGUAGAGGGUGGUGGAAUUCCCGGUGUAGUGGUGAAAUGCGUAGAGAUCGGGAGGAACACCUGUGGCGAAGGCGGCCACCUGGGCCGACCCUGACGCUGAGGCGCGGAAGGCGUGGGGAGCGAACGGGG
rnacentral:rRNA from 1 species